rnacentral:rRNA from 1 species
GGUGAACGCUGGCGGCGUGCUUAAGACAUGCAAGUCGAACGGCAGUCUUCGGACUGUAGUGGCGCACGGGUGAGUAACGCGUAACUGACCUACCCCAAAGUCGCGGAUAACGAUUCGAAAGAAUCGCUAAUACGUGAUGUGCUGUCAGAUUGUGUUCUGCCAGUAAAGAUUGAUUGCUUUGGGAUGGGGUUGCGUUCCAUCAGCUAGUUGGUGGGGUAAAGGCCCAUCAAGGCGACGACGGAUAGCCGGCCUGAGAGGGUGGCCGGCCACAGGGGCACCGAGACACGGGUCCCACUCCUACGGGAGGCAGCAGUUAGGAAUCUUCCACAAUGGGCGAAAGCCUGAUGGAGCGACGCCGCGUGAGGGAUGAAGGUCUUCGGAUCGUAAACCUCUGAAUCAGGGACGAAAGACACUUCGGUGGGAUGACGGUACCUGAGUAAUAGCACCGGCUAACUCCGUGCCAGCCGCCGCGGUAAGAC